UACACCAAUGAAGGCAAAACAUGAUUGGCUCACUGUUACUUGCUUUAAGCACAAGUACUGGCCGUGUAUUGUUUGCUGAAUCCAGCACUACCUCUCGUGCUCGUUUAGUUUUUAACUUACACUAAACCACCCGAUAUAUUCGAAGCAUGCGUAUAACAAGCGAGGAUCGAUGUUAUGUGUUCGAAUCCCACCGCCCAUCUUUCCGGACUUGACUGGUUGGAACCGCAAAGGCUGUAAAGGUAAAGCCACGAUCCACCACUGUCUCUUUUCAAGGCUAAACCAGAAGCAUUGCCUGAUUAAAUGACUUGCUGAGGGUGCCAUAAUUUUGCAAGCAAAGAGUAAGGAGUUCAAAUCCAGGACUACAGCUUGCUGCUCAUUAACUGGUGAUAUCGAACACACAGGCAUGACCUGGGCCAUUUAGGCAAAAAGAAACAGAAGACAAGGGGAUAUGCAAUGAACAAAAAGCAUAUACUUCAAAAGAUAAAGAAACCGUUCAUAAAAAUAGUGCAUUCAAUAAAGACAUUUCAAAGGUCACAAAUUUCAAUGUCUGCUAGAGCAGCUUAAUAAAAGUCAUUACUCUACUGAGAAACAUAGAAUAUACUAAUUUUAUCUUUAUGUUGGUAGUUUUACAUUCCUAAAAAACAGCAAAGAAAUCUGUAUUGAUCUUCAUAAAUUAUUAGUAGUGAUAGGAAUUCAUACUUAUAAGACACACCGUACUGUAUAGGUAAUAUUCAUGUGUACAGCAGGUUGCACUAGAUACAAAUAUAUGUUUGAGUAGCAUUUUGCAUAUGUAACGUUCACAUGUACAGAAAGUUACACCAUAAACAGCUAUGAGCAGGUAAACAAUAUGUCCUAUUCUGAGCAGAUGCACAGCAGGAAAUAGUAACAUUUAGAGUGCACAACAGAAAACUGCUGCCUUAAUGAUAAGACAGUAAGUUUGCCUUAGAAGUCAAGAUCAUGUGAUCUGAUCUGCCCCAGUGACAUUUUAUUGUUUGAACAAGAUCAUAUGAUAUGAUAUGCCCCAGUGAUAUUUCAUUGUUUGAACUUUCAGGACUGUAGUAUACCAAGAUAUUUCUUAUGUGAAAUGGUUACAUUUUCAUAUGUACUUGCAGUUGGUUGAGAACUUUCAGCAUUAGUCAUAUAUACAUUAUUUACAUGCAGCAGCUUAAGGUUGCUUCACUGUAGUUAUGCAGAUGUGGUUAAGGGAAUACCUAUUUCCAUUAAAGUGAACAAGGUAGCAGUCUGAUGUUAUACUUGAAUAGCCCAUGUUUCUAAAACAGGUUAGAGAUGUGUACUUUUCCCUACAGUGUAAAUGUAUGUGCAGCCUGCUCAAAAUCUCUUAAUGACUUCUACUUUCAAGAAAUGUCUGGACAUCAGUAAGUUUGGAAGCUUUUGACCGAUUUACUUAAAAUUAGCAGAAAUGUUUAAUGUUUCGAUCAUCUUGAUGUAACAACUUUGUGUGAACUUUUUGUUUAUACAAUAAAAUG